rnacentral:rRNA from 1 species
GUGAACCAGUACCGUGAGGGAAAGGCGAAAAGAACCCCGGCGAGGGGAGUGAAAAAGAACCUGAAACCGUGUACGUACAAGCAGUGGGAGCCUCUUUUAUGGGGUGACUGCGUACCUUUUGUAUAAUGGGUCAGCGACUUAUAUUCUGUAGCAAGGUUAACCGAAUAGGGGAGCCGAAGGGAAACCGAGUCUUAACUGGGCGUUAAGUUGCAGGGUAUAGACCCGAAACCCGGUGAUCUAGCCAUGGGCAGGUUGAAGGUUGGGUAACACUAACUGGAGGACCGAACCGACUAAUGUUGAAAAAUUAGCGGAUGACUUGUGGCUGGGGGUGAAAGGCCAAUCAAACCGGGAGAUAGCUGGUUCUCCCCGAAAGCUAUUUAGGUAGCGCCUCGUGAAUUCAUCUCCGGGGGUAGAGCACUGUUUCGGCAAGGGGGUCAUCCCGACUUACCAACCCGAUGCAAACUGCGAAUACCGGAGAAUGUUAUCACGGGAGACACACGGCGGGUGCUAACGUCCGUCGUGAAGAGGGAAACAACCCAGACCGCCAGCUAAGGUCCCAAAGUCAUGGUUAAGUGGGAAACGAUGUGGGAAGGCCCAGACAGCCAGGAUGUUGGCUUAGAAGCAGCCAUCAUUUAAAGAAAGCGUAAUAGCUCACUGGUCGAGUCGGCCUGCGCGGAAGAUGUAACGGGGCUAAACCAUGCACCGAAGCUGCGGC